AACGAACGCUGGCGGCAGGCCUAACACAUGCAAGUCGAGCGACGGCUUCGGGCUUAGCGGCGGACGGGUGAGUAACGCGUGGGAACGUGCCCUUUGGUACGGAAUAGCCCCGGGAAACUGGGAGUAACACCGUAUGCGGCCGAGAGACGAAAGAGUGAUCGCCAAAGGAUCGGCGCGCGUUGGAUCAGGCAGUUGGUGGGGUAAUGGCCUACCAAGCCGCCGAUCCAUAGCUGGAUUGCGAGGAUGAUCAGCCACACUGGGACUGGGACACGGCCCAGACUCCUGCGGGAGGCAGCAGUGGGGAAUCUGGGACAAUUGGGGAAGCCCUGAUCUAGCCAUGCCGCGUGAUCGAUGAUGGCCUUAGGGUUGUAAAGAUCUUUCAGUGGGGAAGAUAAUGACUGUACCCCCAGAAGAAGCCCCGGCUAACUCCGUGCCAGCCGCCGCCGUAAAAC
rnacentral:rRNA from 1 species